rnacentral:lncRNA from 1 species
UCCACUCUUUGUUUUUGGCUUUCUAAUUCUCGAAUCUGUGUUUCUCAUCAUUUCCUUUUUUGCUUCCAUAUUCUCAAAUCUGUGUUUCUGGUCAUUCCCUUUUUUGCUUCCAUAUUCUGAAAUCUGUGUCUGUGAUCAUCACCUAAAAAAAGAAAAAAAAAAAAAACUGUGUCUGUGAUAAUUUCCACUAUUUGUUUUUCAGUUUUCACAUUUUCUUGUAUUGUCUCAAUUAAGGGGAAAAAAAAAACCAAAAAAAAAAGCCAGCAAACUUUCUUCAUACCUUGAUUUCCACUUGGCAAAAGAAACAGCGCAUAGGAGAGUUCAGUGAAGGUAAGUUUUGAGGAACUGCUCCUCAUUGCUAUAUAUUUUCAUGUUUUUGUUGAGUGGAUCUCCGUUUUAUUUAUUGGCCUUCUCAAAUUUGUAUUAGUUUGGUUGGAGUCAUUUUAAAUCACUUGUGAUUUUAUUUUUCAUAAAAAAAGGUUUCAUACAAGUUCCGUCUUAAUUAA